CUCAACCAGUUUCUUCUCGACUAACACCGACAAAUAAUGAAAAUCGUGUGAAACGAAAGGGUGAAACAACAACUCAACAUGUUGGAUCACCAAAGACACCUUCGGAAGGUCAUUCUCCAAACGCAGCCAAUGAAAAUGGAUCGUCGUUCCUACCACAUUCUCCAUCAUCGUCACCUGGUCAAGAAGAAAGUGUGGAGAGUCCUUUAGGUUCCGCUAGGGAAACACCUACAAACGAAGCAAGUUUCAUUGGAAGAUCACCAAAUAAUGAAGAUCAUUUGAAAACAUCAAGUGGGGCUCCUUCUUCAACACCUACAAUUGGAAAAUCAAUUCCAUCGUUGGAACCACAACAAGAAGACAUGGCAUCUCCACAAACAGGAUCUCCUCGACUAACACCGACAGAUAAUAAAAAUCAUGUGAAACGAAAGGGUCAAACAACAACGCAACAUGUUAGAUCACCAAAUUCACCUUUGGAAGGUCAUUCUCCAAACGCACCCAAUGAAAAUGGUUCGUCGUUCCUACCACAUUCUCCAUCAUCGUCACCUGGUCAAGAAGAAAGUGUGGAGAGUCCUUCAGGUUCCGCUAGGGAAACACCUACAAACGAAGCAAGUUUCAUUGGAAGAUCACCAAAUAAUGAAGUACAUUUGAAAACAUCAAGUGGGGUUCCUUCGUCAACACCUACAAUUGGAAAAUCAAUUCCAUCGUUGGAACCACAACAAGAAGACAUGGCAUCUCCUCAACCAGUUUCUUCUCGACUAACACCGACAAAUAAUGAAAAUCGUGUGAAACGAAAGGGUGAAACGACAACGCAACAUGUUGGAUCACCAAAUUCACCUUUGGAAGGUCAUUCUCCAAACGCACCCAAUGAAAAUGGUUCGUCGUUCCAACCACAUUCUCCAUCAUCGUCACCUGGUCAAGAAGAAAGUGUGGAGAGUCCUUCAGGUUCCGCUAGGGAAACACCUACAAACGAAGCAAGUUUCAUUGGAAGAUCACCAAAUAAUAAUGAAGAUCAUUUGAAAACAUCAAGUGGGGCUCCUUCGUCAACACCUACAAUUGGUAAAUCAAUUCCAUCGUUGGAACCACAACAAGAAGACAUGGCAUCUCCACAAACAGGAUCUCCUCGACGAACACCGACAGAUAAUAAAAAUCAUGUGAAACGAAAGGGUCAAACAACAACGCAACAUGUUAGAUCACCAAAUUCACCUUUGGAAGGUCAUUCUCCAAACGCACCCAAUGAAAAUGGUUCGUCGUUCCUACCACAUUCUCCAUCAUCGUCACCUGGUCAAGAAGAAAGUGUGGAGAGUCCUUCAGGUUCCGCUAGGGAAACACCUACAAACGAAGCAAGUUUCAUUGGAAGAUCACCAAAUAAUGAAGAUCAUUUGAAAACAUCAAGUGGGGCUCCUUCGUCAACACCUACAAUUGGAAAAUCAAUUCCAUCGUUGGAACCACAACAAGAAGACAUGGCAUCUCCUCAACCAGUUUCUUCUCGACUAACCCCGACAAAUAAUGAAAAUCGUGUGAAACGAAAGGGUGAAACAACAACUCAACAUGUUGGAUCACCAAAGACACCUUUGGAAGGUCAUUCUCCAAACGCACCCAAUGAAAAUGGAUCGUCGUUCCUACCACAUUCUCCAUCAUCGUCACCUGGUCAAGAAGAAAGUGUGGAGAGUCCUUCAGGUUCCGCUAGGGAAACACCUACAAACGAAGCAAGUUUCAUUGGAAGAUCACCAAAUAAUAAUGAAGAUCAUUUGAAAAUAUCAAGUGAGGCUCCUUCGUCAACACCUACAAUUGGUAAAUCAAUUCCAUCGUUGGAACCACAACAAGAAGACAUGGCAUCUCCACAAACAGGAUCUCCUCGACUAACACCGACAGAUAAUGAAAAUCAUGUGAAACGAAAGGGUCAAACAACAACGCAACAUGUUGGAUCACCAAAGACACCUUUGGAAGGUCAUUCUCCAAACGCACCCAAUGAAAAUGGAUUGUCGUUCCUACCACAUUCUCCAUCAUCGUCACCUGGUCAAGAAGAAAGUGUGGAGAGUCCUUCAGGUUCCGCUAGGGAAACACCAACAAACGAAGCAAGUUUCAUUGGAAGAUCACCAAAUAAUGAAGAUCAUUUGAAAACAUCAAGUGGGGCUCCUUCGUCAACACCUACAAUUGGAAAAUCAAUUCCAUCGUUGGAACCACAACAAGAAGACAUGGCAUCUCCUCAACCAGUUUCUUCUCGACUAACACCGACAAAUAAUGAAAAUCGUGUGAAACGAAAGGGUGAAACAACAACUCAACAUGUUGGAUCACCAAAUUCACCUUUGGAAGGUCAUUCUCCAAACGCACCCAAUGAAAAUGGUUCGUCGUUCCAACCACAUUCUCCAUCAUCGUCACCUGGUCAAGAAGAAAGUGUGGAGAGUCCUUUAGGUUCCGCUAGGGAAACACCUACAAACGAAGCAAGUUUCAUUGGAAGAUCACCAAAUAAUGAAGAUCAUUUGAAAACAUCAAGUGGGGCUCCUUCGUCAACACCUACAAUUGGUAAAUCAAUUCCAUCGUUAGAACCACAACAAGAAGACAUGGCAUCUCCACAAACAGGAUCUCCUCGACUAACACCGACAGAUAAUAAAAAUCAUGUGAAACGAAAGGGUCAAACAACAACGCAACAUGUUAGAUCACCAAAUUCACCUUUGGAAGGUCAUUCUCCAAACGCACCCAAUGAAAAUGGUUCGUCGUUCCUACCACAUUCACCAUCAUCGUCACCUGGUCAAGAAGAAAGUGUGGAGAGUCCUUCAGGUUCCGCUAGGGAAACACCUACAAACGAAGCAAGUUUCAUUGGAAGAUCACCAAAUAAUAAUGAAGAUCAUUUGAAAACAUCAAGUGAGGCUCCUUCGUCAACACCUACAAUUGGUAAAUCAAUUCCAUCGUUGGAACCACAACAAGAAGACAUGGCAUCUCCACAAACAGGAUCUCCUCGACUAACACCGACAGAUAAUAAAAAUCAUGUGAAACGAAAGGGUCAAACAACAACGCAACAUGUUAGAUCACCAAAUUCAC
rnacentral:lncRNA from 1 species